AACUAUUUGAAUAAAUUCUUAAAACGUCACUUUGAUACUGGCUGAAAUUGAAACCACGGAAACGCUCUUUGAACCAGAUCAGGAUCACCUUUAGGAAAACACUUGAAAACAUCCUUUUGAUGCGGUUGUCAGCAAUUUUUCAUCUAAAAAAUGUCUUCCAUCACAUCAUAGGACAUGGUAAACUCUCCAAUCUUCUCUAGCUUCCCUCUCUUGCCUGCCCUGAGUAUAAGAUUACCAUGCUGGUAGGAAAAAAUUCCUUUGGUCAAAUGAAUUAUAUCGCCUGAAUCAAAAGCAUCGCAUUCAUCUCCCCAAAGCUGAAGAUGAACUGCCGCUGUCUCAUCAGCUACAAGAGUCAAACAUAUCUUAUUCUUCCCUUCUAGCGUUGCGCUGCCUUUCUCCAAAACUAUAAACUUAGUCUCUAUGUUGUUCUGAGCUGCAGGCACAAUGUCUUUAAGCAGAACCAUCUCUGAUUUGUUCCUCAAAGGACAUCCACUU
rnacentral:sRNA from 1 species